CCUACGGGGGGCUGCAGUGGGGAAUCUUCCGCAAUGGACGAAAGUCUGACGGAGCAACGCCGCGUGAGUGAAGAAGGUUUUCGGAUCGUAAAGCUCUGUCUUCAAGGACGAAUGUAGAUAUUGUGAAUAAUGAUAUUUAAUGACGGUACUUGAGGAGGAAGCCACGGCUAACUACGUGCCAGCAGCCGCGGUAAUACGUAGGUGGCAAGCGUUGUCCGGAAUUAUUGGGCGUAAAGGGAGCGCAGGUGGGAAUAUCAGUCUGUCUUAAAAGUUCGGGGCUCAACCCCGUGAUGGGAUGGAAACUAUAUUUCUUGAGUGCAGGAGAGGAAAGUGGAAUUCCUAGUGUAGCGGUGAAAUGCGUAGAUAUUAGGAGGAACACCAGUGGCGAAGGCGACUUUCUGGACUGUAACUGACACUGAGGCUCGAAAGCCAGGGUAGCGAACGGGCUUAGAUACCCCUGUAGUC
rnacentral:rRNA from 1 species